rnacentral:rRNA from 1 species
GAGCGAACGCUGGCGGCAGGCUUAACACAUGCAAGUCGAACGGGCGUAGCAAUACGUCAGUGGCAGACGGGUGAGUAACGCGUGGGAACAUACCUCUUGGUUCGGAACAACACAGGGAAACUUGUGCUAAUACCGGAUAAGCCCUUACGGGGAAAGAUUUAUCGCCGAGAGAUUGGCCCGCGUCUGAUUAGCUAGUUGGUGGGGUAAAGGCCUACCAAGGCGACGAUCAGUAGCUGGUCUGAGAGGAUGAUCAGCCACAUUGGGACUGAGACACGGCCCAAACUCCUACGGGAGGCAGCAGUGGGGAAUAUUGGACAAUGGGCGCAAGCCUGAUCCAGCCAUGCCGCGUGAGUGAUGAAGGCCCUAGGGUUGUAAAGCUCUUUUGUACGGGAAGAUAAUGACGGUA